CCAAAAUCCUGUGAAUCUCAAUGAAAAUUUUGAUUGAAAGCUCGUUCAAAAAAAGGUCCGAAAAAAUUAAUUCCUUUUUGGCACACAAGACAGUUUCAUUUCUUACGAUGCAAUGCAAAUUUCAGCGCCGUAAUCGUUCCCCGUCUUUCACUCAGGAUGAUUGAUCUUUUCAAAUCUUUGUCUCAGUUUCGAAGUUUCUAUUGAAUGGAACAUUCGAAUACAAUUAUUGUUCGCAGAGGUCGUCAAAAACCCGUAUAAUGGAACUGAAAGUGCGACAAGAAUGUGUACGCGAAUAACUCGAGGCGUUGUUUCGGCCACUGGUUACACACAGAACAGCAUUAUCCAUCGCAGCAACUUUGCUCGUGGCCCUGUUGAUCGAAUCCUCGUUCGCCGAGGACCCCGUCCGUCCACCGCCGAUAAAGAUAGA
rnacentral:misc_RNA from 1 species